UUUUAAAGACCUAGUAAUAGGUAUGCUUAAAGAGGAGCUUGCGUCACAUUAGUUAGUUGGUAGGGUAAAAGCCUACCAAGACUAUGAUGUGUAGCCGGGCUGAGAGGUCAAACGGCCACAUUGGGACUGAGACACGGCCCAAACUCCUACGGGAGGCAGCAGUAAGGAAUUUUCGGCAAUGGAGGAAACUCUGACCGAGCAACGCCGCGUGAACGAUGAAGUAUUUCGGUACGUAAAGUUCUUUUAUUAGGGAAGAAAAGAUGGUGGAAAAACCAUUAUGACGGUACCUAAUGAAUAAGCCCCGGCUAACUAUGUGCCAGCAGCCGCGGUAAUACAUAGGGGGCAAGCGUUAUCCGGAAUUAUUGGGCGUAAAGGGUGCGUAGGCGGUUAAAUAAGUUUAUGGUCUAAGUGCAAUGCUCAACGUUGUGAUGCUAUAAAAACUGUUUAGCUAGAGUUGGAUAGAGGCAAGUGGAAUUCCAUGUGUAGUGGUAAAAUGCGUAAAUAUAUGGAGGAACACCAGGAGCGAAGGCGGCUUGCUGGGUCUUAACUGACGCUGAGGCACGAAAGCGUGGGGAGCAAACAGGAUUAGAUACCCUGGUAGUCCACGCCCUAAACGAUGAGUACUAAACGUUGGGUAAAACCAGUGUUGAAGUUAACACAUUAAGUACUCCGCCUGAGUAGUACGUACGCAAGUAUGAAACUUAAAGGAAUUGACGGGACUCCGCACAAGCGGUGGAUCAUGUUGUUUAAUUCGAAGGUACCCGAAAAACCUCACCAGGUCUUGACAUGCUUUUGCAAAGCUGUAGAAAUACAGUGGAGGUUAUCAAUUGCACAGGUGGUGCAUGGUUGUCGUCAGCUCGUGUCGUGAGAUGUUGGGUUAAGUCCCGCAACGAGCGCAACCCUUGUUGUUAAUUGCCAGCAUGUAAUGAUGGGGACUUUAGCAAGACUGCCAGUGAUAAAUUGGAGGAAGGUGGGGACGACGUCAAAUCAUCAUGCCCCUUAUGACCUGGGCUACAAACGUGAUACAAUGGCUGUUACAAAGGGUAGCUAAAGCGCAAGCUUCUGGCGAAUCUCAAAAAAGCAGUCUCAGUUCGGAUUGAAGUCUGCAACUCGACUUCAUGAAGUUGGAAUCGCUAGUAAUCGCGAAUCA
rnacentral:rRNA from 1 species